GACCCCAGGUCAGGCGGGGCCACCCGCUGAGUUUAAGCAUAUC
rnacentral:rRNA from 5 species